rnacentral:misc_RNA from 1 species
UUUCCGUAGGUGAACCUGCGGAAGGAUCAUUAAUCAGUACCGAUGCCUUCAUGGUUGAGGAUACCGCACAGUGGCCUGCUUCGGCAGGCUAACGUGUAUAACCACUUGUUGAAACACCUUCCUUUGCUUCGGCAGCACCUUCCACUUAAUUGCGGAGGGGUAAGGCUGUCAGAAGCUCAUAACCAAACCAGUUGAUGAAAUGUCAUGCUGUCUGAUACCGUUUAGUAUUUGAGAAAUCGAAUAACUAUUAAAACUUUCAGCAACGGAUCUCUUGGUUCCC